GUAGGGAGUGGAGGAGAGGAGCAGAGCAGGUCAUGACAAGGGUGUGAGAGACAUCAUCUUCACUUCAUGUCCACUCUGUCCAGGCCUCUCAUCUUGAACUAGCACUCUCAAGUCUCAUUGCACUAAAGAUGCCCAAGUCUCUUUGCACUUAAGAUUUCAAAGUCUCUCACUGUUCAGAAAAUAGUCCACAUUUUUCCUACUAAACUGUCUAACCUCACGCUUUGCCAAAUUGUAUCCCAUCUGCCACUUUUUGACUUGGCUAGAAUGUCCAAGACCUUCUGCAGACUCUCUGCUUUUUCAACAGUACUUGUUCCUUGAUGUUUGCCAUCUGCAAACAUACCAACAAAAGAGUGGCCUCUGGACUCUAGCCAAUGACCAAGGUCCCUUGGAAAUAACUCCAGUCAUCAAGUCACCCUUUAUUUACACAUGGAGAGUCCCCAACACUGAUCCAGCUCUGGCAGUCCUUUUAAGUUUGUCAGCCAGGGGUCCUUGAUUUGUGCUCUUAACCUGGUCUAAUUGGGAAACUCAUUCUAUGAGGUUCACCUGGCUGACCUUGUUACAAUCAGGGGUGUUGUAUUAGCCACUUACUAGGCCUCUGGGACUCUUCCUGACUCCAGUGAUUUCUGAAAGAUCACCACCAAUACUUCUACUGUCUCCACAGCUAUAUCCUUCAGAACUCUGGGGAGUAUGCCAUCAGUUCCGGAUGAUUUAUCUGCCUCAGACUUUCCAGUUUCCCCAGCAUCAUCUCCUCAGUGAUUGCCACUGAGCUCACCUUUGCCCCCUGACUGUCUGGAGAGAGGGAUAAUGUAUGUGAGAAUGUGAAUAAGAGGAGAGAGAGAGUGAAUGUGAGGAGGGGUGAGAGAGGAUGGAUGAGUGGAGGAGAGGGAAAGUAAGGGAAGAACGGGAGUGAGUAGAGUGUGACAAUGGGAGUCAAAAGAGAGGGUCAUAGAGCCGUACAGCUUGGAAACAGACCCUUCAGUCCAACCAGUUAUGCUAAAGGAGAUGUUUUGAGGAGAAAAAGGGAGUUUUGAGCAGAGUGAGGAAACUUGAGUAUGGAUGUGAGGAGAAGUUGGGAGCAGUUGUGAGGAGAGAGGGAGUGUGGGUGUGAGGAGAUAUGGGCAGGGGUGUGAGGAGAGGGGUUACGAAGAGAGUGAGUGAGAGGGUGUGACGAUGGGGUGUGAGGUGAGGCUGAGGGAGUGUAAGGACAGGGGUGGGAAUGUGAGAAGAGAGAGUAGGGAGGGGGACGGAGAGAGGAAGAGUGAUGUAAAGACGGUGGGGGAGGUUGUCUGGUCUAUGGUCAAUAGUCAAAGGGAAAUUGAGUAACAAAUACAUAGAGACCUCAGAAAUAUGGAAGAAUAAUGUUGUAAUAGUAGGUAAUUAUUUUCCGAACAUUGACUAGGGCUCUCAUUGUGUUAAAAGUUUGGUUGGUGAAUUUGUUAAAUGUGUUCAAGGAAAUUUUCUUUAUCAAUAUGUCAACGUUCCUACUAGAGAAGCAGCAAAACUUGACCUCGUGGAUAAUAAGAGCAACACCUGGAACUUAGCCUCCACCAUUUGGCUGACUAAUUUGUAUUGUGCAUCUGCCCAUGAACUAGGAGUCCUUUAUCUCAGUGUGACCUAUCUUCACUCCCUGCAGGCAACACUUGCAACCUUUCUAGGAAAUUGUAACUUAAAUCAGAUCUGUAUUUCGGUAGUGAUGCUCCAAAAACUGAUAACUGACUUCAGAAAGAAAGGAGGAGAACAUGCCCCCAUCUACAUCAAUGGAACUGAGGUUGAGAGGGUGGAGAGCAUCAAGUUCCUUGAAGAGACGGUAACUGGCAACCUAUCCUGGACUUCCCACGUAGAUACGAUAGUCGAGAAGGCACAGCAACGCCUCUUCUGCCUCAGGCGACUCAGGAAAUUUGGCAAGUCCAGAGGCACUGUCACGAACUUGUACAGAUGUACAACUAAAAAUAUACUGUCCGUUUGCAUGAUGGCAACUGCUCUGCCCAGGACCGUGAAAAACUACAGAAAGUGGUGUGCACGGCUCAAACCAUAAUGGAAACCAAACCUUCCUUCCAUGGACUCCAUUUACAUGACUCGCUGCUGCAGAAAGGUUGCCUACAUCAGCAAAGACUGAUCGCACCCUGGUAAUGAUCUCCUACAACCUUUUCCAUCAGGCAAAAGAUACAGAAGCCUGAACACAUGCACCAGCAGGUUCAGGAACAGCUUCUUCCUGGCCAUUAUUAGACUGAAGCAUGGACUGUCUAGGGAGUCGGUUGAGGUUAGUGGGCCCACUCCCAUCUCCUAUUUUGGAAAGAGGAACAGGAAUACAGAGUACUGGGCUAAUGGUAGUGUUCUUGGUGGUGUGGAUGAGCAGAGUGAUUUCGGUGUCCAUGUGCAAAGAUCCUUGAAAAUUGCCACCCAGGUUGAUAGCGCUGUUAAGAAGGCUUACAGUGUGUUAGGUUUUAUUGGUAGAGAGAUUGAGUUUCAGAGCCAUGAGGUCAUGUCAAAGCUGUACAAAACUCUGGUGCAGCCACACUUGAAGUAUCGCAUACAGUUCUGGUCGCUGCAUUAAAGGAAGGAUGUGGAAGCAUUGGAAAGGGUGCAGAGGAGAUUUACCAGGAUGUUGCCUGGUCUGGAGGGAGCGUAUUGUGAGGAAAGGCUGAGGGACUUGAGGCUGUUUUCGUUAGAGAGCAGAAGGUUAAGGGGUGACUUAAUAGUGACGUACAAGAUGAUCAGAAGAUUAGAUAGGGUGGACGGUGAGACCCUUUUUCCUCAGAUGGUGAUGGCUAGCACGAGAGGAUAUAGCUUUAAAUUGCGUGGUGAUAGAUCUAGGACAGAAGUCAGAGGUAGGUUCUUUACUCAGUAGUAAGGGCGUGGAAUGCCCUGCCUUGCAACAGGAGUAGACUCGCCAACUUUAAGGACAUUUAAGUGGUCAUUGGAUAAACAUGUGGAUGAUAAUGGAAUAGUGUAGGUUAGAUGGGCUUCAGAUUGGUUUCACAGGUCGGCGCAACAUCGCCGGCUGAAGGGUCUGUACUGCGCUGUAGUGUUCUAUUUUAUGUUCUACCUACUAACCUCAUCCCGCCCCCUUGACCUGUCCGUCCUCCCUGGACUGACCUAUCUCCUCCCUUACUCCUCACCUACACUCACCUUUACUGGCUCCAUCCCCGCCUCUUUGACCUGUCUGUCUGCCCUCCACCUGUCUUCUCCACUAUCUAUCUUCUAUCUGCUUCCCCUUCUCUCCCUAUUUAUUUCAGAACCCCCUUUCCCUCCCUCAUUUCUGAAGAAGGGUCUAGUUUUUCACUGAUUGAUGGUACUUCAGUACAUGUGACAAUCAAAAGUUAACGUUUCCGUAAACACGAUCCUGAAGCUGACAGGAAUGGAUCUUCCUUUAUGCAAGAUAGGAUGAGUCAACCCCCACUUCUUCAUAAUCCUUCUCAAGCGAGGCUAAGUCCUCCCUUGCGUCUUGGAACUCUCCUUCCUCCAGGCCUUCUCCCACGUACCAGUGAACAAAGGCCCGCUUGGCGUACAUCUUAUCAAAUUUGAUAUUGAGCCGGGUCCACGCAAAAGCAAUGGCGGUGGUGUUGCUCAGCAUGCAGAGGGCCCGCUGCACCUUUGCCAGGUCGCCCCCUGGUACCACUGUUGGGGGCUGGUAAUUGAUGCCAACCUGUGGAGAAGGACAUUUGUCAGAUGUCAUUUGCUUUGGACUUGGAAAUCAAAAGGUUUGGCUCAUUAAUGGCUCAGUUGUCAGAGAUAGCCAUGAGCACACUUGUAUCUUUAUUUCAAAACGUUCAUGCAAUGGUUCUCCAUUCCUCUCAAUUGGAAAUGUCAGCAUCUUUUUGGAAGAAGAUGAGACUUAGGAACAGGAGGAUUCCAUUUGGCUCCUCUAGCAAUCUCACCAAUCAAUAGAAUCAACUGGAUCGGAUUGUAAUUCCAAUUUCUUAUUCAAUGAUCCAGCCUCCCUGCACUCUAGGGGAUAUUGCUCCAAAGGUUCAUGACCCUCCUCAAAAUUGAACAGGAGACCCUUUUCUUCAUUCUCUAAUUCUAUGCACGAAUUGAUGAACAUGAUUUGACCUGGAAUGGACAGCAUAGUGUUCACCUCUUGUCAAAUUCACUCAUUCUAGGCACCCCCAGGUCCCCAAUUUCACACAAGCCCUACACUAACCUUGAACCCAGUUGGGCACCAAUCAACAAAUUGGAUUGAGCGUUUGCCCUUGAUUGUGGCGAUGGCAGCGUUGACGUCCUUGGGCACCACAUCUCCUCGGUACAGCAUGCAGCAUGCCAUGUACUUGCCCUGGCGGGGGUCACAUUUCACCAUCUGGUUGGCUGGUUCAAAGCAGGAGUUGGUGAUCUCUGCCACUGACAGUUGCUCAUGGUAAGCCUUCUCAGCAGAAAUAAGAGGGGCGAAGGUUGCCAAAGGGAAGUGAAUGCGAGGAUAGGGGACCAAGUUGGUCUGGAACUCUGUCAGGUCCACAUUGAGGGCACCGUCAAACCGGAGUGACGCCGUGAUGGACGACACCACCUGUGCAAUGAGACGGUUGAGGUUGGUGUAGGUUGGUCGCUCAAUGUCAAGGUUUCGUCGACAAACAUCAUAAAUGGCUUCAUUGUCCACCAUGAAGGCACAGUCAGAGUGCUCGAGGGUGCAGUGGGUGACAAGCACUGAGUUGUAUGGCUCAACCACCGCGGUGGAGAUCUGGGGGGCAGGGUAGACGGAGAACUCCAGCUUGGAUUUCUUGCCGUAGUCAACAGAGAGUCUCUCCAUCAGGAGGGAAGUGAAACCUGAACCGGUGCCACCCCCGAAACUGUGGAAGAUGAGGAAUCCCUGCAGCCCUGUGCACAGAUCAGCCUGUGGAGAAGCGCAAACAUAUUUAGCAUAACGUGAAUAUGUUUAAAAAUAUAAAUACUACAGCCUUAAGAACAAAGUUAGGCUUGAGAAUUUCUGAAUUAAUUAACUCAUCUUCUGAUUCCCCAAAGUCUGUUCACUAUUUACAAGUCAGGAGUAUGAUGGAAUAAACUCCAACUGCCUGGUGCAGCUCCAAAAACUCAAGUUGUUCCACACCAUCCAGGACAAUGCAAUUUAUUUGACUGGCUCCACAUACCCAAACAUUCACUCUUUCCACCAAGCAGUGUGCAACACGUACAAGGUGCACUGCAGUAAGUCAGUGUUUCUUCAACAGACCCUUUCUAACAUGUGACCUCUCCCGUCUCGAAGGAGAAGUAUAGGAGAUGUCACAUUGCUCCUUCAAGCCACUUACCAUUCUGAGUUGGAAAUAUAUUGCUCCUGUGUCACUGAGUCUAAAUUCUUGAUUACCCUGUGUAAUAGCACCACCGGACCACCACAGUUCAAGACGACAACUUAUGACAGCUUCUCAAGGAUAAUUAGGGAUGGGAAACAAGUGAUGGAGAAGCAAUUAACAUAUAUGUUUCAUGAAUUAGUCAAAAUGGGCAUGGAGAGUAAACAUGUGGAGAACCUUGCGAAAUUGUGUGGAAACAGGUAUCCAGCAACAGGUCUGAGGCCUUCAGAACAUUAAUUCUUUUUCAGGAUGUGGGUAUCAUUUGCAAGGCUGCUGUUUGUUGGCCAUCUUGAAUUACCCUUGAACUUAAUGUUUCACUGGGGCCAUUUCAGGGUACAUUUGUAGUCAACCACAUUGGAAUAGAUCGUAAGUCACACAGGAUAGACAGGUGACGAUGGCAUCUUUUU